rnacentral:lncRNA from 1 species
GGUCAGCCACGAGUAUUUCAGUUAUUAUAAAUGUAUUUACAUGAAUAUUUGGAAACUGAUUUUAGUCUUAUACGGAAGUGAUUAUGAAGUUUGAAUUUAUAUUAUAUUUUCUCUUUUUCUGUAAAUUGUAUAUGGAAAAAACACAUACACCAUUUUAUAAAAUUUGGGAAAUUUUCUUUUUGGGGGCGGGAUGUUAUGUAUCUGUAUUGUAUGGUCGUAUGUGUUUUGUAGUUAAGUCGUGAGAGUUGCGUCCCAUUGUAUGAUAAUGAUGCAUAUUUGUCAUGUGAUGUUAUCUGUCUCUUUGAAAUAAACGUGCUAUGGAAAUAGAUGUGUUUUUAUUGCUCUUUAGCAAAUGUAACUUUAGCGGCAUGGGGAGGCAAGUAUAUGUCCCCCCAUGUACGUAAUAGGCGUACGCCC